AUUGAACGCUGGCGGCAUGCCUUACACAUGCAAGUCGAACGGCAGCGGACCUUCGGGUGCCGGCGAGUGGCGAACGGGUGAGUAAUAUAUCGGAACGUACCUUUCAGUGGGGGAGUAACGUAGCGAAAGUUACGCUAAUACCGCAUAUUCUGUGAGCAGGAAAGCAGGGGAUCGCAAGACCUUGCGCUGAUUGAGCGGCCGAUAUCAGAUUAGCUAGUUGGUGAGGUAAAGGACUCACCAAGGCGACGAUCUGUAGCGGGUCUGAGAGGAUGAUCCGCCACACUGGAACUGAGACACGGUCCAGACUCCUACGGGAGGCAGCAGUGGGGAAUUUUGGACAAUGGGCGCAAGCCUGAUCCAGCCAUGCCGCGUGAGUGAAGAAGGCCUCGGUUGUAA
rnacentral:rRNA from 1 species